ensembl:lncRNA
CCAUUCAUCCUCACCAAUAAGCCAUUCAUCCUCACCAAUAAGCCAUCCAUCCUCACCAAUAAGCCAUCCAUCCUCACCAAUAAGCCAUCCAUCCAUCCUCACCAAUAAGCCAUCCAUCCUCACCAAUAAGCCAUCCAACCUCACCAAUAAGCCAUCCAUCCUCACCAAUAAGCCAUCCAACCUCACCAAUAAGCCAUCCAACCUCACCAAUAAACCAUUCAUCCAUCCUCACCAAUAAGCCAUCCAUCCAUCCUCACCAAGAAGCCAUCCAUCCAUCCUCACCAAUAAGCCAUCCAUCCAUCCUCACCAAUAAGCCAUCCAUCCAUCCUCACCAAUAAGCCAUCCCUCCUCAACAGAAUGAACGAGUCGUGCGUUCCACCUGGCCAGCUGGCCACCACAUUCAGCAGCGUAUGUGGACACCGUCUUCAGAUUAGUGGAUUCGGCUAUUUCAGCCACACCUGUUGCUGACAGGUGUAUAAAAUCGAGCGCACAGCCAUGCAAUCUCCAUAGACACACAUUGACAUGCUCCCAUGCACAAAUCAAGGUCCAUACAGAAACAGUUUGUUGAGAUCAAUGUGGAAGAACUUGUCUGGCUUGCAAAGAGCCCUGACGUCAACCACAAUGAACACCUUUGGGAUGAAUUGGAACACCGACUGCGAGCCAGGCCUAAUCGCCAAACAUCAGUGCCUGACCUCACUAAUGCUCUUGUGGCUGAAUGGAAAUAUGUCCCCUAGUGGAAAGCAUUCCCAGAAGAGUUGAGGCUGUUAUAGCAGCAAAGCGGGGGACCAACUCCAUGAUUUUGGAAUGAGAUGUUUGAUGAGCAGGUGUCCACAUACUUUUGGUCAUGUAGUGUUUUUCCCGCAUCACCUGCACAUUAAGAGUGGAAGUAUUUUCUGUUGACAGAGUUGAACUGACGAUAUGGGUGUCGUCUGUUGCUCCGUUCGUAUUUGUGAACCCAUUGAUGGCAAAGAAACCCCUCUUGACUUCAAUCUGUUGUGCGAUGGUGUAUGCUGAUGAUUGCAUCGAAAACAUUGGCUCAUCGAGGGCUGUGAGAUGCCGAUCGGCAAGCUCCCUUUGAAAAGUGCCUAUUGCCAGAAACUCAAGGGUGGAUAGCACUUGGAUGUGCAACUGGAAUGUCAUGUGUUUGCCAUUCAAAAGUAGGUCUUAAAUCCUCGCAAAAAUACUUUAUGAAUGGCUUUGGGAAAUGAUAUCUGAUGAGACAAUCUUCACUUCCUGCAGUAACAACAAAAAGUCCCACCUGUAUCUAAAAACGAGCUCAGCCUCUCAGUCGAUUUCUCAACAUCUCUGUCUUUCAUGGUAUUUACACAAUAGUUUCACUUUCACUCAAGUUUUACCAAUGACUAUACUUUAUAUAGAUAAUUAUCGGAUUUUUUUUUUUACUGAUGUGGUUAAAAGAUAUGCCUGUCAAGAUAUGUCGAUUGAAUUCACAAUGGAAAUACAAUGAAAUCGAAAAAUUAUUUAAUUAUUACCCUGACAAUUUCAGACAUUAUCAACAUUUAUUUUCCCCAUUCUAUGCUUGACAAGCAGUUCUCUUGUUCCACCACUUGGCACUGUACGUGCGUAUGGUCACAGGCUGUGUGUAAAUUUACUCAAACUUGCAAGCAGCAGUUCAUAUUGAUAAAUCUCACACUUUGCACGGACAUUUUCCCACGCAUGAUUUACGCUCUGAUUUUGUUUCCUGAUUGAUAAAUGAGUCCCCGUGGUGACACAUUGGCUCUGCUAUGAACUGGCACUGCCCUCUGCUUCCUGACAGCCAGAUGGACUGGGGUCUGAACCACGUAUGCACCAUGCCCAGGGCUCUGGGUGGCACCAGCUGGAUCUAUCUUGCUACAGACAGGGCUCUGCAGUCCCAUUCUAUACACAGAUAAAUGUGUAUUCAUUCAUGGGUUAGCUGUAGAGAAAGUUUCACCAUAUUCUUUCCCACUAGUCUAUUCGUUUUUAAAUCCACAAUUGGCCAUUAAAUUGGCCACUAGAGAGAAGGGUAGAAAGGAAACAACUGAAAUACAAAACAAUAAGCUUCUAACUGAAAACAAAUGACUGAUUGGGUAUUAGUGAUUGGGUAUUAGGGAUUAGGGAUUGGGUAUUAGGGAUUAGUGAUUGGGUAUUAGGGAUUGGGUAUUAGGGAUUAGUGAUUGGGUAUUAGGGAUUGGGUAUUAGGGAUUAGGGCUUGGGUAUUAGGGAUUAGUGAUUGGGUAUUAGUGAUUGGGUAUUAGGGAUUGGGUAUUAGGGAUUGGGUAUUAGGGAUUAGGGCUUGGGUAUUAGGGAUUAGUGAUUGGGUAUUAGUGAUUGGGUAUUAGGGAUUGGGUAUUAGGGAUUGGGUAUUAGGGAUUAGUGAUUGGGUAUUAGUGAUUGGGUAUUAGGGAUUAGUGAUUGGGUAUUAGGGAUUGGGUAUUAGGGAUUAGGGAUUGGGUAUUAGGGAUUAGUGAUUGGGUAUUAGUGAUUGGGUAUUAGGGAUUGGGUAUUAGGGAUUAGGGAUUGGGUAUUAGUGAUUAGGGAUUGGGUAUUAGGGAUUGGGUAUUAGUGAUUGGGUAUUAGGGAUUAGGGAUUGGGUAUUAGGGAUUGGGUAUUAGGGAUUAGGGAUUGGGUAUUAGGCAUUAGUGAUUGGGUAUUAGUGAUUGGGUAUUAGGGAUUGGGUAUUAGUGAUUAGGGAUUGGGUAUUAGUGAUUAGGGAUUGGGUAUUAGGGAUUGGGUAUUAGGGAUUAGGGAUUGGGUAUUAGGGAUUGGGUAUUAGGGAUUGGGGAUUGGGUAUUAGGGAUUGGGUAUUAGGGAUUGGGUAUUGGGUAUUAGGGAUUGGGUAUUAGGGAUUGGGUAUUAGUGAUUGGGUAUUAGUGAUUGGGUAUUAGUGAUUGGGUAUUAGUGAUUGGGUAUUAGGGAUUGGGUAUUAGUGAUUGGGUAUUAGUGAUUGGGUAUUAGUGAUUGGGUAUUAGGGAUUGGGUAUUAGGGAUUGGGUAUUAGGGAUUGGGUAUUAGUGAUUGGGUAUUAGGGAUUAGGGAUUGGGUAUUAGGGAUUGGGUAUUAGGGAUUGGGUAUUAGGGAUUGGGGAUUGGGUAUUAGGGAUUGGGUAUUAGUGAUUAGGGAUUGGGUAUUAGGGAUUGGGUAUUAGGGAUUGGGUAUUAGGGAUUGGGUAUUAGUGAUUGGGUAUUAGGGAUUGGGUAUUAGGGAUUGGGUAUUAGGGAUUAGGGAUUGGGUAUUAGGGAUUGGGUAUUAGUGAUUGGGUAUUAGUGAUUGGGUAUUAGUGAUUGGGUAUUAGUGAUUGGGUAUUAGUGAUUGGGUAUUAGGGAUUGGGUAUUAGUGAUUGGGUAUUAGUGAUUGGGUAUUAGGGAUUGGGUAUUAGGGAUUGGGUAUUAGGGAUUAGGGAUUGGGUAUUAUGGAUUGGGUAUUAGGGAUUGGGUAUUAGGGAUUAGGGAUUGGGUAUUAGGGAUUGGGUAUUAGUGAUUGGGUAUUAGUGAUUGGGUAUUAGUGAUUGGGUAUUAGUGAUUGGGUAUUAGUGAUUGGGUAUUAGUGAUUGGGUAUUAGGGAUUGGGUAUUAGGGAUUAGUGAUUGGGUAUUAGGGAUUGUGUAUUAGUGAUUGGGUAUUAGUGAUUGGGUAUUAGUGAUUGGGUAUUAGUGAUUGGGUAUUAGUGAUUGGUAUUAGGGAUUGGGUAUUAGGGAUUGGGUAUUAGUGAUUGGGUAUUAGGGAUUGGGUAUUAGGGAUUAGGGAUUGGGUAUUAGUGAUUGGGUAUAAUGAAUAAAUAAUUAAUGGUCGUGGCCCAGUGGUCUAAGGCACUGCAUCUCAGAGAAACCCAUGUUGACUUCAAUCUGUUGUGCGAUGGUGUAUUUCUUUGCACUGCAUCUCAGUGCAAGAAGCCUCACUACAGUCCCUGGUUCGAAUCCACACAAUUGCCCCAUCAUCGUCCAGGUUGGGCCGGUGUAGGCCGUCAUUGUAAAUUAGAAUUUGUUCUUAACUGACUUGCCGAGUUAAAUAAAGGAUAAAACAAAUUAAAAUCCAUAAUGGAGUCACAUAUACAGUGCAACUGGCAAUUAACCUUUCAGACUGUGUCGUUGUUUUUGAAUUGUUUACGUGUUCGCUAUGCAGGACAAACGGAACUACGUGGC